GAGGGUGUAGCUCAAGUGGUAGAGCGCAUGCUUAGCAUGCAGGAAGUCCUGGGUUCAAUCCCCAGUCCCUCC
rnacentral:tRNA from 1 species